rnacentral:snoRNA from 15 species
CUGCGCUUUUAAGGUUGAUUCUGCAUUUGAAGAGGCUAACACAGAAGGUAAAGUAAGUCUCCAUAAAACCCAGAGAGGAGAUUAUAAAACUCCUCUUUGGAUUCUGUCUGGAGUCACAGCU